CAGUAGCCACGGUAAUACGAAGGGUGCAAGCGUUACUCGGAAUUACUGGGCGUAAAGCGUGCGUAGGUGGUGGUUUAAGUCCGUUGUGAAAGCCCUGGGCUCAACCUGGGAAUUGCAGUGGAUACUGGGUCACUAGAGUGUGGUAGAGGAUAGUGGAAUUUCCGGUGUAGCAGUGAAAUGCGUAGAGAUCGGAAGGAACAUCUGUGGCGAAGGCGACUAUCUGGGCCAACACUGACACUGAGGCACGAAAGCGUGGGGAGCAAACAGGAUUAGAUACCCCGGUAGUCCCUGUCCUUAUACA
rnacentral:rRNA from 1 species